CAUUAAGAAGCUAUGAAUCAGCACUAGCCUUUUAAGCUAGAGAAAGAGGAAGAACUCCCUCCUCCUUAAUGG
rnacentral:tRNA from 1 species